ensembl:lncRNA
AAUCUCCCCCAAAUUCACCCCAAAAUCCAAUGGGAACCCCAAAAUCCCCAAAUUCACCCCAAAACUCACCUGGAACCCCCAAAUCCUCCAAAUUCACCCCAAAAUCCCCAAAUUCACCCCAAAAUUCACCCCAAAAUUCUAAAAUUCCCCAAAUCCACCCCAAAAUCCCCCAAAUUCACCCCAAAAUCCCCCUGGGACCCCCCCAAAAUCCCCUCCCAGGCUUCACCUGCGGGGUGGGCGGAGCUUCGGCGUCACCCCCAACAUCUGGAUGGGGGGGUCCCUCCACACCUGGAUCGGGGGGUUCCUCCACAUCUGGAUGGGGGGGCUCCUCCCCCUCCACAUCUGGAAUCCUGGGGGGCGGGAACAGCUGGGUGUCCACAUCUGGAACGCCGGGGGGCUCCUCCCCCUCCACAUCUGGAUCCCCGGGGGGCUCCUCCCCCUCCACAUCUGGAACACCGGGGGGCUCCGGGCCCCCCACAUCUGGAUGGGGGGGUUCCUCCUGCCCCACAUCUGGAAUCCUCGGGGGCGGGAACAGCUGGGUGGCCACAUCUGGAACGCCGGGGGGCUCCUCCCCCUCCACAUCUGGAUCCCUGGGGGUCACGAACAGCUGGGUGGCCACAUCUGGAUCCGGGCUCGCCACCCCUCCCCCCGCCGGGAUUUUGGGGCCUCUGGGGGCCGCAUUUGGGGGCAGGAACAGCUGGGUGGCCACAUCUGGAUCGGGGGAGGGCGGCCCCUCCGCCACAUCUGGAAGGCCGGGGCUUCCCGGGCUGCCAACAUCUGGGGAGGGCAGGAAGGGCUGGGUGGGCACAUCUGGAUCCGACUCCUCCUCCUCCUCCACAUCUGGAUCCGGCUCCUCCUCCUCCACAUCUGGAUCCGGCUCCUCCUCCUCCACAUCUGGAAUUCGGGGCGGCAGGAACAGCUGGGUGGCCACAUCUGGAUCCCACCCCUCCCCUCCCCCCGCCACAUCUGGAGCCCCGGGCGGCCCCGGGGCGAUCCGCCGCCUCUUGGGGGGCCGAACAUCUGGAUCCUCCUCCCCCUCCUCCACAUCUGGAGCUUCCGGGAGGUUUUGGGUCGUUUUGGGCCUUUCUGGGGGCUCCACAUCUGGAUCCUCCUCCUCCACGUCUGUGUCGCUCUCCACCCGGCACCGGAUUUUGGGGCUGGCAACAUCUGGAUCUGCAGCCACAUCUGGAAUUCCUGACAGGUCUUGGGUCAUUCUGAGCCUUUUUGGGGGCUCCACAUCUGGAUCCGCGGCCACAUCUGGAGUUCCUGGGAGGUUUUGGGUCAUCUUGGGGGGCUCCACAUCUGGAUCCGCGGCCACAUCUGGCGUCUCGGGCACCUUUUGGGUCACUCUGAGCCUUUCUGGGGACUCCACAUCUGGAUCCUCCCCCUCCACGUCCGUGUCACUCUCCACCCGGCACCAGAUUUUGGAGCUGACAACAUCUGGAUCCGCGGCCACAUCUGGAGUUUCCGGGACAUUUUGGGUCAUUCUGAGCCUUUUCGGGGGCUCCACAUCUGGAUCCUCCCCCUCUAUAUCCGUGUCGCUCUCCACCCGGCACCAGAUUUUGGGGCCGGCCACAUCUGGAUCCGGCUUUGGGGCCACAUCUGGAGUUCCUGGGAGGUCUUGGGUAUUCCUGAGGGGCUCCACAUCUGGAUCUGUGGCCACAUCUGGAGUUUCCAGGAGGUUUUGGGUCAUUUUCGGCCUUUUUGGGGGCUCCACAUCUGGAUCCUCCUCCACAUCUGUGUCACUCUCCACCUGGCACCACAUUUUGGGGGGCUCCACAUCUGGAUCCGCGGCCACAUCUGGAGUUUCCGGGACCUUUUGGGUCACUCUGAGCCUUUCUGGGGACUCCACAUCUGGAUCCUCCCCCUCCACGUCCGUGUCACUCUCCACCCGGCACCAGAUUUUGGAGCUGACAACAUCUGGAUCCGCGGCCACAUCUGGAGUUUCCGGGACAUUUUGGGUCAUUUUGAACCUUUUUAGGGGCUCCACAUCUGGAUCCGCAGCCACAUCUGGAGUUUCCGGGACAUUUUGGGUCAUUCUGAGCCUUUUCGGGGGCUCCACAUCUGGAUCCUCCCCCUCUACAUCCGUGUCGCUCUCCACCCGGCACCAGAUUUUGGGGCCGGCCACAUCUGGAUCCGGCUUUGGGGCCACAUCUGGAGUUCCUGGGAGGUUUUGGGUAAUUUUGGGCCUUUCUGGGGGCUCCACAUCUGGAUCCUCCUCCACAUCUGUGUCGCUCUCCACCUGGCACCAGAUUUUGAGGGGCUCCACAUCUGGAUCCUCCUCCACAUCUGGAGUUUCUGGGAGGUCUUGGGUCAUUUUCGGCCUUUUUGGGGGCUCCACAUCUGGAUCCUCCUCCACGUCCGUGUCGCUCUCCACCCGACAUGGGAUUUUGGGGGGCUCCACAUCUGGAUCCGGCUUUGGGGCCACAUCUGGAGUUUCCAGGACAUUCUGGGUAAUUUUGAGCCUUUUUGGGGACUCCACAUCUGGAUCCACAGCCACAUCUGGCGUCUCGGGCACCUUCUGGGUCAUUUUAGGGGGCUCCACAUCUGGAUCCUCCUCCACAUCUGUGUCGCUCUCCACCCGGCACCAGAUUUUGGGGGGCUCCACAUCUGGAUUUGGCUUUGGGGCCACAUCUGGCGUCUCUGGCAGGUUUUGGGUCAUUUUGAACCUUUCUGGGGGCUGCACAUCUGGAUCCUCCUCCACAUCGGUGUCACUCUCCACCUGGCACCGGAUUUUGGGGCCGGCCACAUCUGGAUCCGGCUUUGGGGCCACAUCUGGAGUUCCUGGGAGGUUUUGGGUAAUUUUGGGCCUUUCUNGCUGGGGACAGAUGGGAACAUUGGGGACAGCUGGGGACAGAUGGGAACAUUGGGGACAGCUGGGGACAGCUGGGGACAGCUGGGACACUGGGGACAGCUGGGGACAGAUGGGAACAUUGGGGACAGCUGGGAACAUUGGGGACAGCUGGGGACAGCUGGGACACUGGGGACACCUUUGGACACUGGGGACACCUGGGAACACACCUGGGACAUAGCUGGGGACAUCUGCGGCUAGCUGUCUAUUGUCCGUGUCCAUUGUCCCCUGCCAUUGUCACCUGUCCAUUGUCACCUGUCCCUUGUCACCUGUCCAUUGUCACCUGUCCAUUGUUCCCUGUCACCUGUCCAUUGUCCCCUGCCAUUGUCACCUGUCCAUUGUCACUUGUCACCUGUCCAUUGUCCCCUGUCCAUUGUCACCUGUCCAUUGUUCCCUGUCACCUGUCCAUUGUCACCUGUCCAUUGUCACCUGUCCAUUGUCACCUGUCCCUGUCCAUUGUCACCUGUCCAUUGUUCCCUGUCCCCUGUCCAUUGUCACCUGUCCCUGUCCAUUGUCACCUGUCCAUUGUCACCUGUCACCUGUCCAUUGUCACCUGUCCAUUGUUCCCUGUCACCUGUCCAUUGUCCUUGUCCAUUGUCACCUGUCCAUUGUCACCUGUCCAUUGUCACCUGUCCAUUGUCCCCUGUCCAUUGUCACCUGUCCCUGACCAUUGUCACCUGUCCAUUGUCACCUCUCUGUCCCCGUGUUGGGUGGUUUUGGGGCAAUUCCAGUGGUUUUGGGGUAAUUCCAGUGGUUUAGGGUAGGUUUUGGGUUGAUUCUGGGUGAUUUUGGGUGAUUUUGGGGCUGUUUUGGGUGGUUUUGGGGUGGUUUUGGGUGGUUUUGGGGAAUUCCGGUGGUUUUGGGGUAAUUCUGGGUGAUUUUGGGUGGUUUUGGGGUGAUUCUGGGUGAUUUUGGGUGGUUUUGGGUGGUUUUGGGGCAAUUCCGGUGGUUUUGGGGUAAUUCUGGGUGAUUUUGGGUGGUUUUGGGGUGAUUCUGGGUGAUUUUGGGUGGUUUUGGGUGGUUUUGGUGUAAUUCCAGUGGUUUAAGGUGGUGUUGGGGUGAUUCUGGGUGGUUUUGGGGUGAUUUUGGGUGGUUUUGGGGUGAUUCCAGUGCUUUUGGGUGAUUUUGGGUGGUUUUGGGGUAAUUCUGGGUGAUUUUGGGUGGUUUUGGUGUAAUUCCAG